rnacentral:rRNA from 1 species
GACGAACGCUGGCGGCGUGCUUAACACAUGCAAGUCGAACGGAAAGGCCCUGCUUUUGUGGGGUGCUCGAGUGGCGAACGGGUGAGUAACACGUGAGUAACCUGCCCUUGACUUUGGGAUAACUUCAGGAAACUGGGGCUAAUACCGGAUAGGAGCUCCUGCUGCAUGGUGGGGGUUGGAAAGUUUCGGCGGUUGGGGAUGGACUCGCGGCUUAUCAGCUUGUUGGUGGGGUAGUGGCUUACCAAGGCUUUGACGGGUAGCCGGCCUGAGAGGGUGACCGGACACAUUGGGACUGAGAUACGGACCAGACUCCUACGGGAGGCAGAAGUGGGGAAUAUUGCACAAUGGGCGGAAGCGUGAUGAAGCAACGCCGCGUGCGGGAAGACGGCCUUCGGGUUGAAAACCGCUUUCGCCUGUGACGAAGCGUGAGUGACGGUAAUGGGUAAAGAAGCACCGGCUAACUACGUG